GAUGAACGCUGGCGGCGUGCCUAAUACAUGCAAGUCGAGCGAACGGACGAGAAGCUUGCUUCUCUGAUGUUAGCGGCGGACGGGUGAGUCACAUGUGGAUACCCUCCCUAUAAGACUGGGAUAACCUCGGGACACCGGAGCUAAUACCGGAUAAUCUUUUGAACCGCAUGGUUCAAAAGUGAAAGUCGGUCUUGCUGUCACUUAUAGAUGGAUCCGCGCUGCAUUAGCUAGUUGGUAAGGUAACGGCUUACCAAGGCAACGAUGCCUAGCCGACCUGAGAGGGUGGUAGGCCACACGAGAACUGAGACACGGUCCAGACGCCUACGGGAGGCAGCAGUAGGGAAUCUUCCGCAGUGGGCGAAAGCCUGACGGAGCAACGCCGCGUGAGUGAUGAAGGUCUUCGGAUCGUAAAACUCGGUUAUUAGGGAAGAACAUAUGUGUAAGGAACUGUGCACAGCGUGACGGUACCUAAUCAGAAAGCCACGGCUAACUACGUG
rnacentral:rRNA from 1 species